GAGCUGGUUCCGCCGCAAGGCGGAUGAAAAGGGAACACGGUGCGGCCGAACAAUCGGCCAGAGCCGCGACUGCCCCCGCAACUGUAACCGUUGAGCCUUCUUCCAAGACGCCACUGAUCGCUGCAUGCGACCGGGAAGGCGGAAAAGGGCGAUGACACGGAAGUCAGGAGACCUGCCUGUUCC
rnacentral:ncRNA from 1 species